AAGUCGUAACAAGGUUUCCGUAGGUGAACCUGCGGAAGGAUCAUUAAUAGAGACCGUCGCCUGGAUGGGGAAACCCCCCCGGACACACUCUCCACCCCUUGAUUGUCGUACUUUAGUUGCUUUGGCGGGUCUCAGCCCAAGUGGCCCGUCGGCUCCGGCUGCGAGCACCCCGCCAGAGGUCCAAAACAAAACUCUUGAAGUAAACAAUGAAGUCUGAUUUUAUACUAUGAAAAUAGCCUAAAA
rnacentral:misc_RNA from 1 species